AUAGUGUUACAGCGCAGCGGGCAACGCGGCCACACUCACAUGGGCGUUGCAGGGACGCACAGCUCAUGAUGGAGCUCCGUGCUGCGUGGCUGGAGAAAAAAGGAAGCGCAGUGACCACAACAGUAAGAAGUGUGGACUCGCCAGAAUCAUCCAGGCCACCAAGCGAGGCCUCGGUCAGCGCCCACCUUUCAAAGACGGGGAGAAAAAGGCCCAGAGAGAGGAAACAACUUGCCAAAACUUACAUUCUGGGGAUGACAAGAGAAAGCUGAGGGGAGAGGUGGCCCUAAACGCUCAUCAACUAAUAUUGAUGUUUAUGUCUGAGUAAACGUCGGUUUAGCCUCAGAAUCAGAAGACCUUAAGUCAGAGGAACUUUCAGGGCCUCCUGGCCAUCCGGGGUGCCCACGUGCCAAGUCUGCAUGACAAUGGGGGCAUAAGGAGGUGUCAGAAUGGACCUGCCCUCAGAGGAUCUGCAGUCUUGCUCAGGAAAUAUAUCAAAGCAGCUGGAAGACAACUGAUGCUGGCAACCAGACCAAAGGCUGGCGGGAGUUUUGGCAAAGCAAAGUCUGACGGGUACUGUCCGAGCAGGGAAGACCUUACAGACAGGGGGCCUCAAGGGUGGGUGAGACCCGGAAAAACGCAGAGUGGGAGCAGACUCAGGUGGGAAUGGCUGGAAGAGGGGAGCAGAGGCGAGGCGAGAGGGAGGGGUGCUCCAGAAACCUUUGCAAACCAAACCCCGGGAUCUGGGUGGCCAGCGAUGAGUCUGUAAGUGACUCUCAGUGUAGACACCAUUACUUACUAGUUCCAAGUUACUUUUUUUAUCUAGGAGACAAGAAAUAACCUCACAGGAUUUUGACACAACAUAUGAAAAAAAAAUCCACUAAUUAAAAAAAAGAACCAAUGCUCUGACCAAGGAAGGGGUUUCUUUGGCAAAGGACUUAGGAAAACAAAAUCUAGCACAUCUCUGUAUUCUGGGGCUGUGGUCCUUCCUAAGCUCUUAAAAAAACGUUGGCACAGAAAGAUCUUCUUCCACCAGUGACUUCUAGGAACCCAUUCUCGGAAGAUAAACUUGGUCCCGGACUGGCUUGGUGACUCAGAGAAGUGUCAGAUAAAGAUGACCCCAAGACUCAUAGAACACAUGCCCAAUCUCCAGUGACCUGGACUCUACAGAACGCUUGGGCCAGCCCCAGGCAAUACUGGGAACUGAUUUCCCGGUGCACCUUUGAACCCUCUCAGCUCCUUGGUGAGGCCUGUGUAUGGCUUGGGGCCAGGUGCACCUGCACUGGGCACGUCUCCAUUACCUGAAUUCAUGGCCGAGUCUUCCCAGGUUCCAGCUUCAACCUGAGAUGAAAAAUGACCAAAACUCAUUUUCUCGUGGGCAGUAGAGAUGUUACAAAUCCCAGAGCAGGCUUGUAAAUGCAUCCACCAUUUCUUUUUCCUAAAGCCGGUGAGAGACCAUCUUGCUGCUGCCACUCUUCAAAGUUUAGAAACCACAAAAGACAUUCUGAGUUACAUUAUCACUUUAUUUUCCUUUUUUAAAAUGUAACAUUAAAGUCAUCCAACAUACAGACAUUCCUAUGGCUCCUAACACAUUUUAUUCUACCUAAAGUUAAGUAUUUUAGCUAUGAGAUGAUGAAAAUCAUCCCAUUAAAAUGGCAACACUUCUGAAAAAUGGGUUUCCUGUUUAGUGAUGGGAAAUUGACUCCCCAUCCAUCCUC